AUUGAACGCUGGCGGCAUGCCUUACACAUGCAAGUCGAACGGCAGCACGGGGGCAACCCUGGUGGCGAGUGGCGAACGGGUGAGUAAUACAUCGGAACGUGUCCUGUAGUGGGGGAUAGCCCGGCGAAAGCCGGAUUAAUACCGCAUACGCUCUACGGAGGAAAGGGGGGGAUCUUAGGACCUCCCGCUACAGGGGCGGCCGAUGGCAGAUUAGCUAGUUGGUGGGGUAAAGGCCUACCAAGGCGACGAUCUGUAGCUGGUCUGAGAGGACGACCAGCCACACUGGGACUGAGACACGGCCCAGACUCCUACGGGAGGCAGCAGUGGGGAAUUUUGGACAAUGGGCGAAAGCCUGAUCCAGCAAUGCCGCGUGUGUGAAGAAGGCCUUCGGGUUGUAAAGCACUUUUGUCCGGAAAAGAAAAACGCCCGUGGUUAAUACCCGUG
rnacentral:rRNA from 1 species